rnacentral:rRNA from 1 species
UACAGACGUCCAGCGAGAGUCGUGUGCCGAUGGAGCUCGUACGCCGCGGCCGUUCUCCGGCUCGCGCGGCACCGUCUCCUCGCACUCGCUCGCCGACAUCGUCGCCGACGACGCCGCCGUUCUCACAGCUCCGACCGACGUCGCCUCGACCGUCGUCGGUCUCGCCUCCAUCUUCGUCGGUCCCGCCUCCAUCUUCGUCGUCGUCGUCGUCUUCGUCGGGCACUCCGAUGCCGCCUACGGUUCCGUGAGGCGCCGUCGGGGCCGUCGAGGUCGUCGAGGCGCGGACGCCUGCUGCCGCGGCUGCGUCUAGCGCGGUUUCACCGCGUCCUCGCCUGCCGCGUCACCCGUCGGCUCGUGCGGGCGCGAGGUCCACCUCCGCGCGUGGCGCUGCCGCCGACGUUGCUGGUCCUGGCGCCGGAGAUGCUCCAGGCCUGACACCAGUCCCUACAACCAAGGUCACAACCCACCGGAUGGGAGUGAUUUUGGUUGAUGCAGCUCACCCGGCCCUAGUACUUCCAGUCCGAGGUCCACGCCGCGUACACCCUCCGUCAGGUCCUGUCGUUGCAGCUGGUGGAUCUCCUAGCUGCCCGCGACCUGCGGGAGUAGCGGCGUCAGGGCGGGCUCUACGUCAAGAGCGAAAGUUGUUCGCCUGACGGUUCCUCCGAACCCUGCGGUAGCGGCGUCGUGCGUAGCCGUCGCUGGCACGAGCGUUUUCUACCACUUCAAACCGCUACGGUGGAUUGGCUCCUCUCUCGACAGCUCUUCGAAAAAGCCACGUAAGGGCUCUUCAUGUUCGUCUACCGAGCGAGCUAGCUCAGCAACGACCUGGAGAGGUGCUACUGCUAGCUCCUCCGCUAUCCAGCUGAGUUCCAGCAGCUGUGGCUGCUCGGUGUCGGGGGGAGCCCUGGGCAGUAGUGGCCGCCCUUCGACGAGGAUUGAGCCCUCGUCACCCUAGGGUCGGAACCACUGUUCUUCUUCCCCCUCGGAAGGAGGAGCUGCCCGCCGGCGUUCGCACCGUUCGUCGCAUUCCGCGCUUCUCCGGGGGGCCCGUCCCGUGUUCCUGCACGGCUUCCACUGCGGGCGCCUCCGCGGUUCCUGCCGCGGCGACCGUUCGGGUCCGGCCGUGUUCUGUUGUCAACGGUGUUGACACCGGCCAAACCGGUAACCCGGUUACUCACAGCCGUUGGUGCUGUUCCGGUCCGAGUGCAGCGUGUCCGCUUCCUCCUCCUCUGCCGAGACAAGUACCGCGUACGUUCGUAACUCGAUGGGAGCCGCUGAGGUCAGCGUUUCCGAAAGUAGGUGGAGCUACUCGGUUUUCGUGUACGAGAAGAGCCGCUACCGAGGCUCGAGGAUCGGCUUCGAGUAGGUCCUCGAAGCCGAUCGACGAGCUUGUUUAGCUUACUCCCACGUGGCCGGAGGUCGUACUUCGGACGCUAAUCUCCGUCAGGAAACGUGAGGUGGAGUACGGGCACGUAACAACUCCCUCCCUCCUGGAAACGACCCGUCAGUUUCCUACACGAGCCAAUACCACCGGGUUGACGUUCGAAUCGAACGUCGAGGUCGAACCUAAACAGUCUAAAUAACUGACUACGUUUACCUCGAACGUUAGUCUAGGUUUUCUGAUUACUUCGACCUCGACAGUUUGACUGGUUUCGUCUGUAAUCGACAAGCUUUUACGAACAGUAAGUACACGUUCAAUUGGUCGAUCCCUUUCAUUAUCGUCAAGUGAACUAGUGUACAAACUUAGAAGAAUCUUCAACCUUAGGAAAACAAAGAGGAGUACGACGAUGACAUAGUUAAGUUAAACUCUUCGUGUAAGAAGUACGCGGAUAUACACUCAUAUAAGGUAGUGUUACGGGCCCGUGGUUAUCAGUUCUCCUCCUACAACAUCUACUUUCACUAUCCUCCAUU